CUCGACUCAAAGUAGCAAAGAAGAAAACAACAACAAAAUAGCAAGUGUACAAAACAAGUGCAACAACAGAUAUCAAUACACAUUAGCGAAAAAAAGAAACUAUGUGAUACCUAAAAGUACGACAAUACUAAAAGUACCACAACACUCAACUAACUACUAACAUUCUACCUUAAUCCUUGACCUCCUUUCCUCCCUAUCUAAGGUCAUGUCCUUAGUCAACUGGAGCUGUGUCAUGUCCUGUCUAAUCACCUCCCCCAAGUUCUUUUUCAGCCUACCUCUAUUUCUCCUAGCUCCUACUAUAGCCAACUGUGAUGGUUCGCAUUUUUCACGGGCGGGGUUAGCGUUCGGAAAAAGCUACUUCGAAAUCGUUGGUGCUCUUUCGAACUUUGUUUUAAAAGAGUCGCCACCUAAUUUUUAGGAAAUUAGGAAACCCAGUUUUGAAGGGUUUAUUCAUACGCUGUGAAAAAUCCUUCUUAAUCAAAAGUUCUAGGUAAGGAUUCUGGUGAUCCCCUAGGGAAGGUGUUAGGCACCCUAGUAUUAAGGAUCUGUACUAUACGGUUGACCUUCGAAUUCGAAUGUGUGAUUAUUUGCAUGAACUGUUUACUUAGUGUUUAUUUCCCGCAAAAGCCUGUCAUGUUGCAUAUAUCAUUUUUGAAAAGAAUUGAAUAUAUUCCCUUUACAUAUAGGGUAUUUAGGUUCCGAUUUAUAAUAUCCGUGUAUAAUUAGUUCCUUUUAUAUAUAAGGAUAACAAUUUUUAUAUAGAAAAGGAAAAAAAGUUUAUUUAUUUUUUAUAGUCUGGAUGAAUAGGUUUUAUUCAUGCUUUGCUCACACGUGGACUGGGUUAAUCCGUUUAAUACAUUUCUAAAACAUCCUUACCUAAAAAAUAUUAUAAUCAUGGGCGUAAAAAUUGGACCCUUUUUUGAUUUUACAAGAAAGGGAUUCUUGAUAUUUUUGGCACGUUUUAUCCUUAAGAAAAUGAAUUGAAUUUAUGGUCCAAUAACUUAUGCAUAUAUUCCCCUUUUAAAAAUGUGCACGCUAUAUAUAUACUUAUUUUUUAUUUUAAAUAAAGUCUCAGAUUUAUUUCAAGAGCAAAAUUUUGACUUUGAAGUCCAUUUGGUUUUUAGGCCCCAAAACACCUUACUUCAUUUAUUUAAAACGUAAGCCUUAGCCUAGAAUUUUUCUAACCAAAGAUUUAAAAUAAUCAGAUGGGCUUUAACCAAAAGAAUGGUUUAUGUUAUUGGUUUCUUUUUUAAAGACAAAUAUGCACGGGUUGUAGUCCAAAAAUACCUUGUUGUAGCUAUUAAAUAUGGGCCUCAGCCAUGUUUUCUUACCUACAAAUUUAUACUAAAAAGAGUCAAGUGGAUUCUUUAGUCCAAAUAAUAACUUUUGUCAUUUUGUUUUUCAAAAGAUCAAAUUUAAUGGGCUCUGGCCCCAUAUUUUUUUUUUGAAAUGUCUGAUUUUCUAUAAGAAAGGACUCAGGUGGGCUCUGGCCCAAAAUAUCACAUUUUUUAUCAACUCAAAAUCCAGAAAACGUAAUUUAAUAAUUGAAAAGGAUUUCUUGUCUAAUUUUUACUCAUCCUCUUAAUUUGAACACUAUGAUAUACUAUCUUAUCUUUCCGAUAACCUCUUUAGUUUAUUAUUUAUUAGGACAAACGCAGUUGCUUUCCAUUUUUAAUUUUCAAAAUCAUCCAGAUUUUUCAAAAGAUUUUUUUUUGGAGCUAGAGUCAAUCUAAACGGCAUAUGCACCGUUUUGCCUAAGAUGCUUAAUUCGCAACAUAAAUGAUUCCAAUAAUGUUUGUGGUUUUUUUUUACAAAUAUGAAUACAAUACAUGAAACACUUUAAGCAAAUAAAGAAGGCAUAAAUAUAAGGAAGGUAAAAUGGGGUGGAUCAAAUCCCAACCAUUUUUACCCAUGGUUGGGCCUUCGUGUCAUUUUUACCCAUGAUUGGGCCUUCAAUAUAUUAGCUUCCCUUUCUCCUUUUUUUAGACUCAACGAACUUGAAAGAAUUUCCCUAUUGGGCCUUUGACCCAAUAGGGUGGCUGGACCUUGGCCCGAGUGGCCAUGCAAGGGGAGGGAAACAAAGACCCCGGUUAGUUUAUAUUUUACUGUUCUUAUCAUACAUAUAACUAUACACACAUACAUACAAAAUCUCCUAUUCUUUUACAAUUCCUACUCUAUACACAAGUAUACACAUGUAUAGGCAAUAUAUCAUAUUUAUUCACCAGCCCAAAUAAUGUGAAUAUGUAUUUCCAUGUCUCUAAACUCAAACCCCAAACCUAGGUGAUGGGAAGGCCAAGUCAUCAGCCCCUUUAUUCCUGAUGCUGCACAAGUUCAAGAGGUUUCAUGAACCUCCGGAAUGGCUGGUCACCAGGGGAAGGCUUAAACUAAGCCCCUCUCCCACCUAAACUGCCUCUCUCAACCAACAAUAACCAUGGAAGACACAGGUCCACAUACACACACAUGGCUUGGAAUAAAUAGGAUAGGUCCAAUAUACAUAGCUAUAGAACAAUUAUAAGUUAACAAGAACAGAUGAGAACAAGGAGAGAAGAGGUGGAUAGACUCAUCAGGCAGGUUACCCUUAUGACCUAAGACCAAGGCACCAAGUAUGAUUUAAACAUGGAAAAAGAAAGUAAUCUGUGUGGGCAUAAUAUGGCCAAGACUGAACUAAACCAAGUAAUCACAACAUAGACAAUCACAUAGGAGUAGUACAGUUCCUAACAAUAUUGAUUCAAGUAGACAUAACAAAGUGUAAAGGCACACAAGGAUAGGGUAAACCGGCUUCAAGACAGGGUACAACACAACAGAUUUGGCAUUCAUAGAGUACAUGUAGAAUUAUUUAGACAAAAUCUUCAAAUGAGCCUAUAUGUCCUACGCACAACUCGACUAAAGGUUCUUGCCAUUCUUUAGGAAUCAUAUUCUCAAGUCUAGGUGAUUCUCACAGAAAAUACAGGAAGUAAACAGAAAAAAACCAAUCUAUAAUUCUAACAGACAUGAUAUGACAAAUCCAAAUAGGUGAAAUCAGAGUUCUUUGUUUUGAAACAAACACAAGUAAGGUGUUUCAUCACCUUCAACACAGUUCAGUUAAAGGUUAAGACACAAAUAAACUGAAAUUCAAAUCAAGAUAAAUCUGCAAAUAAGGCCAAGAGACUUUGAGUUCUAAUGCUUCUAUGUAAUAUAUCCAAUUUUGAGUACAUCAACUUCACUUUCAGAUACAACUUAAGCAAAUAGCAAGGCCAAAAGUCCCAUGGAUGCACAAAAGACUCAAUAUUUAAAGUUCAAAGUUUUGCAACCCUUUUAGACCUUUUCUCAUGAUCCUAUUCUAUUGCAAAGAGAACCAAGCUGAUUUUAAAAGAGGAUACACAUGAUUUAGACAUGUUCAUAAACAGUGGCCUACUCCUAGUUUUCAUUUUUUCAAACUGUACAAGUAUAACAUAUCCUUAGCUGGUUUUUAAUACUUCACAAAAGGGAAAACACAUCUGUCCAACAUGACUUAAGUUCAGUUUUUAUCUUCUACUUAGACUUUAGACUAAUAAACUCAAGAACAUAUCUCACAGUGGGAAACAUGAUAUAUUAUCUAAAGCAUCACAAAUAAAGGGUCAAAUAUACCUCCCAAGACACUUUAUUGCCACUUUAAAUGGAUGCAACCCACUUAUUUCCUUAUUUUUAAGGUCUUACCAUUACUUAGAAAAAGGGAGAAAACAAACCAUCUCUCAAGCACAAAUUGAAAUCAUAUCAAUGCACACAGAAUUCACAUAAAGAUCUUAAUUAUGAACCCAGCCUAACCAAAUAUUAAGGAAUCUACCUUAUUAUAUCAUCCACAUAAAACUUUCUUGCCUUGUUUUCAGAAUAAACAGUAUUCCUUUUGAGAGCCUUUUCCUCUUUCCAGUUUUACCGCAAUCUUUCAAAUUACCACACAUUAUCUAGCCUAGUCAACCCAUUUCUCUUAAGACAUAUCAGAGCAGACCAACAUAAUUCAUUUAAGUCUAUAGUAAAACCUCAAGACCAGGUUUAUUAAUCUGAGUGAACAAUUAAUAAAGGCACAAGAAAUUCAUUUUUAGGAUCCUUUUAACUCUGCAAAUGGCAAAGAGAAUACCAAAUGUGCAAAUGUAGCAGGUUACACCCCAUAGACUUAUGAGGAAUGCCAUGACAAUCUCUUAUUUUGGGAAGAAAGAUACUAUGGGUUAAGUGAUGCUUGACCCUUUCUCAAUCUUCUCCUAAGAUGUCUUUAAAAUUUUUUCCCAUUAAUCAAGUGGUUUCAACCCACACAUCUACACUUAUGAUUCUCUUUUAUUACCCUUGAGCAUAUACCAAAAGAAAGGCUUGACAAUUCAUAUAUUAAAACCAAACAUUUCCUUAAGGUUUCAGCCAUGGUUUCCCCUCUUUUUUCUUUCUUUUUAUCCUCUUCUUUUAUUCAGACUAGACUUAUAAGAUCUUUCCUACCUAUUUCCAUCUCUUAAGCCUAGGCAAUCAAGGACCAUAAGUUAUUAUCACCACAUUCUUCACUCAUGUACAAAGAAAAUAAAACAGACCUCAUGAUUCAAAACAACAGUCUCAAUCUCUAAACUGUUCAAGAUUGGACCAAACAUGACCAAACUACUUUAUUCCAACCUUCCCUUAAUAUUUUGGACUUGUUAAGUUUGAACACUUAGGAUCAUCUAUCAAACUAGGGCCUAUACAUGUAUGAAUAUCAAUACAGAUGCAAGAGGGUAUGGCAUAUCAGUCUACUUUCAUAACAAAUUUACUUCACUAGUUAGAUAAGACAACUAAUGAGGAUAGGACUAACAAUAGGAGAUUAGAGAUGUUGCACCACCCGUUUUCAUCGUAGUAGAACCUAUGGUUUUCUAGUCGGGGGUACCUUUGGAAUAGAGACUCGAGCCCGAGUUUGGAGGUAGAAAGUAUCUUGCCCCGUGUACAAGGGUACCAGUAGGUAUUCCUGGCAAUUUGCAGGAUUAGAAGUUGAGCGAAUCAAAUCGACACGACCUGAGCUGAAUCUGAUAAAAUCUGCAAACACCAGUCAUCAUCGACGGGUCGUCGACAUGGUCGACGGACCGUCGUUAUGCGGCGUCGAUAGGGUUUCGCAGCCUUGCAUCUGCAGGCGCAGGUUGACGGAGCAAGUCGACGGACUGUCGACACGUCGACGGGUCGUCGACCCGCACCGCUGUAGCUUUUUAUUUUCAGGUAUAAAUCUAAUAUCCACGACUUUAUUUCUCAUUUUCCUCCAUUCCAAAUCAGAAAAACCCUAGUAUUUUCUCUCCCAAUAUUUUUCAUCAUUAUUAGUGGAGAUUUGGUAAGGUGCGAGCCCCGUAAACCCGUGCUUGUGAAAAAGAAGGUUGUUUCUAGGGUUUCUUCAAGGUUAUGAAGCUUAGAAAGUUGGAGUUGAAGUGAUUCUUGGAAUAUUAGACCCCUCAAGGUAUGUAAAUGAUUUCUACCCUUAUAUUUGGGUUUAUUAUCAAGAGUUUUAGUGAUUUUAAGUAGAGAGAGGAUACUUAUGGAAGUAGUAAGCUGAUGAAGGGUAAUAUAGUGAAUUGGGGUUAUUUUAAGAGAUGAUUGGGAAUGGAUUUAAGCAUAUAUAUAUAUAUAUAUAUAUAUAUAUAUAUAUAUAUAUAUAUAUAUAUAUAUAUAUAUAUAUAUAUAUAUGUAUAUGUGUGUGUGUGUGUGUUGUCAUUGUGUUGUGGGUAUUGUGGUUGAUGUUAGAUUGGAUGGGAAGUUGAAGGAUUGUUGAGUUUACAAGGGAAAUGUUGUCCAUAAUUCAUUAAGCUCUAUAUGUAUUUAAAGAUGGUUAGUAAGCGAGGCAAAUAGUCUAAUUAAUGCCUAUGUUAUCUUAAUUGUAGACUUGCAAGUUCGAGAGAUAGAAGUUGGACGAUUGGAUAUACUUCAAGGUACAGGUAGACAGACAGGUGGUCCAGCUUAGUAGGACUUUUAUCCAGCAGCGAUCAGUGCACUCCAUUUGAUCCGGAGUUGCAGUCUAUUUAUGGUAUGCUAGCUCUUUUGAGAUGUAUAUGCACAUGGGUAUGACGGGGCCCUGUCCCGUCCUUUCUGCAGCUUUUAUUUCAGUAGAGGUCUGUAGACAGUUGUAUGUAUUAGUCAGAUGAUGUAGCCUUGUCAGCUUCUAUUCUUUUGUGUACAAUAUAUAUAGCAGCCUAGCUGGCUUGCACUGAUUUUUCAGCAUGUUUAUGUAUAUACAAAUUGUUCAGUGUU